CCUACGGGAGGCAGCAGUGAGGAAUAUUGGUCAAUGGCCGAAAGCCUGAACCAGCCAAGCCGCGUGAGGGACGAAGGUCCUAAGCGUUGUAAACCUCUUUUGUCGAGGGACAAAAUCCGGCUCGAGACCCUGACCGCGUGUACUCGAAGAAAAAGCAUCGGCUAACUCCGUGCCAGCAGCCGCGGUAAUACGGAGGAUGCGAGCGUUAUCCGGAUUUAUUGGGUUUAAAGGGUGGGUAGGCGGACUGGUAAGUCAGCGGUAAAAGGCCGGGGCUCAACCCCGGCGAGCCGUUGAAACUGGCAGACUUGAGUGGGCGAGAGGUACGCGGAAGGCGCAGUGUAGCGGUGAAAUGCGUAGAUAUCGCGCAGAACUCCGAUUGCGAAGGCAGCGUACCGGCGG
rnacentral:rRNA from 1 species